GAGGAUUUAGCUCAGUGGAAGAGCACUUGCCUGGCAAGUGCAAGGCUCUGAGUUCAGUCCUCA
rnacentral:tRNA from 1 species